rnacentral:lncRNA from 1 species
CAUCUCCGUCUUCCACUGUUUCUAAAGAUUGAUUAAGAUAUUCUUCAAAAUCAUCACGGUUAGUAGAAUUAAGACCAAGAAAACCUCGCAUAUAACUUGAAAUUCGAGCUUUACUCUGAGGAUUAGAAGUUUGACCAACUUCUCCUUGAGUAUUUCCUGUAGUUCUAUAUUUUUCAUACAAAAUUUUUGCUUCUACUUUUAUGGUAGACUUACACAU